rnacentral:rRNA from 1 species
GCUUGUCUCAAAGAUUAAGCCAUGCAUGUCUAAGUGUAAAUAAGUCUAUACUGUGAAACUGCGAAUGGCUCAUUAUAUCAGUUAUAAUAUACUAGAUAGUUUCUCUACUUGGAUAACCGUAGUAAUUCUAGAGCUAAUACAUGACUAAAAGGGCUAGCCCUGCAUUUAUUAGAUACAACCAACCCUUCGGGUUUUGGCGAAUCAUAAUAACUGAGCGGACCGUAUUCGUACGGCGUUUCUUAUUAAUUUCUGCCCUAUCAGCUUUCGAUGGUAGGGUAUUGGCCUACCAUGG